rnacentral:tRNA from 1 species
AUCUUUUUAGUAUAAACUUAUUACAAGCGGCCUCCACCCACUCGAUCUUGGUUAAAAUCCAAGGAAAGAUA